GGGAUAGCAUGCUUUUACUUUCUCUCUCGUUGAAUGUAAACAGGCUUUGCCGGUCGGAAUAUUAUCGCUUUUUUACGAGAAAAGUGGCAUAAAAAUUGAUUUUAAACAGCGGUUGACAUGCUUCGAAUGUCUUGAACGCACGAACAAAACGCCGCUAUUUGGAUAUAACAAUGGAUUAUUUGGGACCAAACCAACAUUUGUUAUUGAAGUAGAAGUCCUGGGAGUGCAUUCUGACGAAGAACAGCAAAGUGUGUUUCCACAGCCCAGUACGUCCUGUGCCUCCUGCCCGCACUCGACCUGAGGUGCGUGUCAUCAGCCCAGUGCCACCUGUACCGGUCCCACGCAUCAGACCUCCAGUGCGCCUCUACA
rnacentral:lncRNA from 1 species